GCUUAACGUUGCGCGUGCAGUGGGUACGGGCUGACUAGAGUGCAGUAGGGGAGUCUGGAAUUCCUGGUGUAGCGGUGAAAUGCGCAGAUAUCAGGAGGAACACCGGUGGCGAAGGCGGGACUCUGGGCUGUAACUGACACUGAGGAGCGAAAGCAUGGGGAGCGAACAGGAUUAGAUACCCUGGUAGUCCAUGCCGUAAACGUUGGGCACUAGGUGUGGGGGACAUUCCACGUUCUCCGCGCCGUAGCUAACGCAUUAAGUGCCCCGCCUGGGGAGUACGGUCGCAAGGCUAAAACUCAAAGGAAUUGACGGGGGCCCGCACAAGCGGCGGAGCAUGCGGAUUAAUUCGAUGCAACGCGAAGAACCUUACCAAGGCUUGACAUACACUGGACCGUUCUGGAAACAGUUCUUCUCUUUGGAGCUGGUGUACAGGUGGUGCAUGGUUGUCGUCAGCUCGUGUCGUGAGAUGUUGGGUUAAGUCCCGCAACGAGCGCAACCCUCGUUCUAUGUUGCCAGCACGUGAUGGUGGGAACUCAUAGGAGACUGCCGGGGUCAACUCGGAGGAAGGUGGGGAUGACGUCAAAUCAUCAUGCCCUUUAUGUCUUGGGGCUUCACGCAUGCUACAAUGGCUGGUACAGAG
rnacentral:rRNA from 1 species